GCCGUCCCCUUCCCGUCCGGCCACUACUGAGUCCUACGUAGGGGCAGCAGUGGGGAAUCUUGCACAAUGGGCGAAAGCCUGAUGCAGCAACGCCGCGUGAGGGACGAAGGCUUUCUGAGUUGUAAACCUCUUUCAGCAGGGACGAUUGUGACGGUACCUGCAGAAGA
rnacentral:rRNA from 1 species